UCAAUGACUUAAAUAGCCGCAGAAAUUUAACUGUGCUAAGGUAGCAUAAUCAUUUGAUUUUUAAUUAAAAUCUAGAAUGAAAGACUUAACAAUUUAAAUUCUUUUUUAUUUUUAAUCAUUAAAAUUUUAUUAAAAAUAAAAAUAUUUUUAUUUUUUAAAAAGACGACAAGACCCUUUUAAACUUAACUUUAGUUUAACUGGGACAGUUAUUUAAUAAUUAUUUUAAAAUAUUUAUUUUACUAAUAACCUAAUAUUAUUAAAUUAACAAGUUACUAAAGGGAUAACAGCGUAAUUUAUACUUAAAGCUCUUAUUUAAUUAUAAGAUUACGACCUCGAUGUUGAAUUAAAUCCCUUUUUUAAGCAAAAUAAAUAAAAGGAAGUCUGUUCGACUUUUAAAAAUUUACAUGAUUUGAGUUCAAA
rnacentral:rRNA from 1 species